ACCAGGCACAGUGGCGCGUGCCUAUAGUCCCAGCUACUUGGGAGGCUGAGGUGGGAGGAUUGCUUGAGUCCAGCAGUUCUGGGAUGUAGUGCGCUAUGCCGAUUGGGUAUCCACACUAAGUUCGGCAUAUGGUGGCCUUCCAGGAGUGGGGGACCACCAGGUUGCUUAAGGAAGGGUGAACUGGCCCAGGUCGGAAACAGAGCAGGUCAAACUCCUGUGCUGAUCAGUAGUAGGAUCGUGCCUGUGAAUAGCCACUGCACUCCAGCCUGGGCAACAUAGCAAGACCUCGUCUCU
rnacentral:SRP_RNA from 1 species